UACGGAGGGGGCGAGCGUUAUUCGGAAUUACUGGGCGUAAAGCGCACGUAGGCGGCUUUGUAAGUUAGAGGUGAAAGCCCGGAGCUCAACUCCGGAAUUGCCUUUAAGACUGCAUCGCUCGAAUCCAGGAGAGGUGAGUGGAAUUCCGAGUGUAGAGGUGAAAUUCGUAGAUAUUCGGAAGAACACCAGUGGCGAAGGCGGCUCACUGGACUGGUAUUGACGCUGAGGUGCGAAAGCGUGGGGAGCAAACAGG
rnacentral:rRNA from 1 species